rnacentral:rRNA from 1 species
GACGAACGCUGGCGGCGUGCUUAACACAUGCAAGUCGAACGGAAAGGCCCUGCUUUUGUGGGGUGCUCGAGUGGCGAACGGGUGAGUAACACGUGAGUAACCUGCCCUUGACUUUGGGAUAACUUCAGGAAACUGGGGCUAAUACCGGAUCGGAGCUCCUGCUGCAUGGUGUGGGUUGGAUAGUUUCGGCGGUUGGGGAUGGACUCGCGGCUUAUCCGCUUGUUGGUGGGGUAGUGGCUUACCCAGGCUUUGACGGGUAGCCGGCCUGAGAGGGUGACCGGCCACAGUGGGACUGAGAUACGGCCCAGACUCCGACGGGAGGCAGCAGUGGGGAAUAUUGCACAAUGGGCGGAAGCCUUAUGCAGCAACGCCGCGUUCGGUAUGACUGUCUUCGUUUUGUAAACUGCGUUCGCCUGUGACGAAGCGUGAGUGACGGUAAUGGGUAAAGAAGCACCGGCUAACUACGUG